CUGGAGAAGGCACAGGCGUAGUGUAGAAUAUGAAAUUGGUGAGCCUUCUCCUGUGCCUGCUGACUGGUCCCCAUGGUGUCCUGUCCCAGGUGCAGCUGCAGGAGUCUGGACCUGGCCUGGCCAAGCCCUCACAGCCCCUGUCCCUCACCUGUACAGUCUCUGGUUUCUCCAUCACUAGUAGUAACACCUACUGGCACUGGAUUCGUCAGCCCCCAGGAAAAAUCAUGGAGUGGAUGGGGUACAUAGGCUACAGUGGUAGCACUGGCUACAACCCAUCCCUCCAGAGCCGCAUCUCCAUCUCCAGAAACACAGCCCAGAACCAGUUCUCUCUGCAACUGAACUCAGUCAGCGCGGAGGACACAGCCACAUAUUACUGUGCAAGUUACACAGUGAUUUCCUGCCAGUGUCUGUCCUCCACCUUCAGUUGUGCCUGCAUGGCUUCUCCUUUUGAAGAGCUCCCCCUAAUUCUGGUUCACGAAAAAUUCAAGAAUUGUUGCUCUGAGUAA